ACGCCGGCCUAUUCGGCCGCGCCGUUUGAAUCUGGGGUGGAGUUCGGUUCGUUUUCUUCGAUCGGGCUGUCUGGUACCUGGUAUCUGGUACUCCGGGGCUUUCAUUCCCUGUUCCAGGAAAUUUUCCAUCCAUUAACAUGCCGGUGAAGCCAAAAAAGAAAGGUCAAUCAAAUGAAAGAGCAAUUGCUGAAAUCUUAACUGUGAAUGUCAUCUUCCCUAAUGAAGAUAGAUAUGGUACGUUCUGCAUAACUUUUACAGAAGGAGAAUGCACGAGAAUUGAUGGCAUUGGACUGGAGAGAAAUGGAUUUGGCAUUCAUACUACACCCGAUGGAAUAAUAUACACAGGGCAAUGGAAAAAUGAUAAGAUGAAUGGCAAUGGAAAACUGGUGCAUCCUUCAGGUGCAACAUAUGAAGGAGAGUUUAAAGACAACACAUUUCAUGGUACAGGGAUAUACACAUGGCCAAAUAAUUUAAAAUAUAUUGGAAACUUCAAUAAAAACAAAUUGGAAGGAGAAGGCAAGUUCAUUGACGCACAAGGCUAUGAAUGGAUCGGGACAUUUCACUGCAAAGCUGCACCAGGGCUGAAGUUGAAGCUGGAUGUGUAAUCCAUGUCUGAAACAUUGUUUUGCAGUCACGUUUCUGUGACCUUUUUAGACAUCACUGAAUGUUCUGAUUCUACAGGAAGAACAACAGGCAGAAUGAUGCUGAAAUAUGGUGUUGUGUUAGCAGUGCUGUAAGAUCAUACAGUAUACUGUACUAUGACAGUCCAAGGACACACUGAGUGCAGUCAUAAUUUUAUUGAUCAAGUCUAGUGCAACAACAAAAUCUAACUAAGAGGCAGUAGUGGUGUGAUCUCUUGAGUCGAAUAUGAUGUUCUUCUAAGGGACUAAUCUGGGCUUUUAGGAUGGAUUCACUUAAUGGAGAACGCCUGUGCGUGAUUUUGUUUUACAUCCGGAGGCUGAUGCACAGGAACCCAAGGCAUGGUCCUUGGCAGAUCGAGGUCAGUGUCCAGUGGCGUGAAUUGCAAGAUAACUGAGGAGCCUUCACUGUUGCAGCCUUCUGAUUCUAAUUAAACCGAGACUCUGUUUGCUUUCUCAAGUAUUAGUUAUAGGUUUUGAGGAAGGACAGGAAGUUCAGAUUUAUGUAUCACAUGUACAUGGAAACAUAGAGUGAAAUGUGUAAAUUAACAAGCAACAUACCCAAGGAUGUACCGGGGGCAGCCUGCAAAUGUCGUCACACAUUCUGGCACCGACAAUAUUCAGCAGAACAAUCCAAGCUGCAACAACAAGAAGAAGCUCCCU